rnacentral:rRNA from 1 species
UACGAGGGGAGCAAGCGUUGUCCGGAUUUAUUGGGCGUAAAGAGCGUGUAGGCGGCCAUACAGGUCAGCUGUGAAAACUCGAGGCUCAACCUCGAGACGUCGGUUGAAACCGUAUGGCUAGAGUCCGGAAGAGGAGAGUGGAAUUCCCGGUGUAGCGGUGAAAUGCGCAGAUAUCGGGAAGAACACCCGUGGCGAAGGCGGCUCUCUGGGACGGUACUGACGCUGAGACGCGAAAAGCGUGGGGAGCGAACAGG